CUGGCGGCGUGCCUAAUACAUGCAAGUCGAACGGUCUUUCUAUGGAAGCUGCUUCACUGAGAAGAUAGUGGCGAACGGGUGAGGUAACACGUGGGUAACCUGCCCAUAAGAGGGGGAUAACAUCCGGAAACGGGUGCUAAUACCGCAUAGUUUUCUUGAUUGCAUGAUUGAGAAAGGAAAGACGGCCUUUGUGCUGUCGCUUAUGGAUGGACCCGCGGCGUAUUAGUUAGUUGGUGAGGUAACGGCUCACCAAGACGAUGAUACGUAGCCGACCUGAGAGGGUGAUCGGCCACAUUGGGACUGAGACACGGCCCAAACUCCUACGGGAGGCAGCAGUAGGGAAUCUUCCGCAAUGGACGAAAGUCUGACGGAGCAACGCCGCGUGAGUGAAAGAAGGUUUUUCGGAUCGUAAAACGUCUGUUGUCAGAGAAGAACAAGUUGGAGAGUAACUGCUCCAGCCUUGACGGUAUCUGACCAGAAAGCCACGGCUAACUACGUGCCAGCCGCGGC
rnacentral:rRNA from 1 species